UUAAAAACAAUCACUUAGUGUAGCAAGGAGAUCCAAAGGCAAAGAGAUGCAUUGCCUGGAAGUCUUCUGGAAAACUGUGUAAGAACUGGUACUGACGAGAUGACAAUUAUAUGUAAUGGUUUGAAAAGGGGCAAAGACAGCAACAGAGAAAGUAAUCUCAGCAAAUAAAGGGAGAUAGUGAACUUACCAUCUGCGGGAUGUUGUUGGUUAACAGAGGGAAAUUGCAAUGUUCCAUGAAGGCAGUUCUUCUAUUGAGCACAUAAUUGAAUGUACCAUGCUUGAAAAUGGUAAGAAAGCUUCUCUUUUCUAGAACACAAUCCUAACUGGAAACCAUAUUGAAAACAGAAGAGUUGUCCUUGUCCACAUCAUAUGUGCUUAGGUUUAGAAACUGACUCAUCAUAUUGAAUAUUAUUCUGGUAAAAUUCUGUGGAAAACUUUGGAAUCUCCACAGAAACCUUUCAAGUGAGAGCUGGUCAGUUUGUUGCAAGCACACAGUUUUCACUGGCUGCCUGUACUUUCCUGAAUUCAUGACUCUUUCUUCAUUUUAUCCAGCCUUCCUAAAACGUAAGUAUCCCUGAAAUUGUAAGAUUUUUGUGGAUGUGCACAUAUGGUUCUACCCAAGAUAGGCACCAUUUUAGAAGACAGAAGAAACUGUUUCACUAUGAAACCACCCAGAACAGUUGUUAGAACAUAUUUCCAUUUACAGCUGAGAGCCAGCUGGCAAUGUCUCCUCCCUGGCUGUAGAUAUUUGCCAGAAUUAAAUGUGGAUUUGUUCUCCCCGCCUUCCAAUUUUGCCUUUGUUUCUAAUAUUUCAGAUUCAUCUACCCUGUGGCCUCAAAUUAUUUUCUAUUGAUUUUUUUUUUCUUUUUCAGUAUUUACCUGUGACUUAUUCUAUGGUAAGAAUUUUCAUACCAGAGAAUUUCCUCUGCAUCUGCAUUUGAUUCACCCUUUCAAAGACAUCACGUUUUCACUGACUGACCCUUUGUAAGGACACCUCACUUCCUUCUUGAAGAGGCAUUAUUGGUGCAAAGCAAACUUUCUUUAACUAAAUCAGAAUGGAUGAAACCAAAAUUUGACACUUUAUGUUGGACUUUCCAUAUAUUCAAUUCAGGCACAUUUCACGAGGAAGCUUCUACUGAAAUGUUUAUCAACUAUUUCCCUAAAUAAUAAUCUGUU